CACGGGGGGAGCAAGCGUUGUUCGGAAUCACUGGGCGUAAAGGGCGUGUAGGCGGUCAGGUAAGUGGAACGUGAAAUCCCUCGGCUCACCCGAGGACCUGCGUCCCAAACUGCUUGGCUUGAGUAUGGGAGAGGAUGAGGGAAUUCCUGGUGUAGCGGUGAAAUGCGUAGAUAUCAGGAGGAACACCGGUGGCGAAGGCGCUCAUCUGGCCCAAUACUGACGCUGAGGCGCGAAAGCUAGGGGAGCAAACGGGAUUAGAAACCCCAGUAGUCC
rnacentral:rRNA from 1 species